rnacentral:rRNA from 1 species
AUGCCUUACACAUGCAAGUCGAACGGCAGCACGGGGGCAACCCUGGUGGCGAGUGGCGAACGGGUGAGUAAUAAAUCGGAACGUGCCCAGUAGUGGGGGAUAACCAGUCGAAAGAUUGGCUAAUACCGCAUACGACCUACGGGUGAAAGCGGGGGAUCGCAAGACCUCGCGCUAUCGGAGCGGCCGAUUUCCGAUUAGCUAGUUGGUGAGGUAAAAGCUCACCAAGGCGACGAUCGGUAGCUGGUCUGAGAGGACGGCCAGCCACACUGGGACUGAGACACGGCCCAG